rnacentral:rRNA from 1 species
UACGUAGGGUGCAAGCGUUAAUCGGAAUUACUGGGCGUAAAGCGUGCGCAGGCGGUUUUGUAAGACAGAGGGGAAAUCCCCGGGCUCAACCUGGGAACUGCCUUUGUGACUGCAAGGCUUGAGUGCGGCAGAGGGGGAUGGAAUUCCGCGUGUAGCAGUGAAAUGCGCAGAUAUCAGGAAGAACACCCGUGGCGAAGGCGGCUCUCUGGAACGCAACUGACGCUGAGACGCGAAAGCGUGGGGAGCAAUCAGG